rnacentral:rRNA from 1 species
CCUGGUUGAUCCUACCAGUAGUCAUAUGCUUGUCUCAAAGAUUAAGCCAUGCAUGUCUAAGUAUGAACUAAUUUAGACUGUGAAACUGUGGAUGGCUCAUUAAAUCAGUUAUAGUUUUUUUGAUGGUACCAUACUACUCAGAUAACCGUAGUAAUUCUAGAGCUAAUACGUGCACCAAGUCCCGACUCUUUGGAAGGGAUGCAUUUUUUAGAUAAAAGGCUAGUGUGGGCUUGCCCGCUUCUCCGGUGAAUCAUGUUAAAUCGAUGGAUCGCACAGCCCUUGUGCUGGCGAUGCUUCAUUCAAAUUUUUGUCCUAUCAACUUUCGAUGGUAGGAUAGAGGCCUACCAUGGUGGUGAUAGGUGACGAAGAAUUAGGGUUCAAUUUCAAAGAGGGAGCUUGAGAAAUGGCUACCACAUCCAAGGAAGGCAGCAGGCAUGCAAAAUUACCCAAUCCUGACAUGGGGAGGUAGUGACAAUAAAUAACAAUAUUAGGCUCAUCGGGCUUGGUAAUUGGAAUGAGUACAAUCUAAAUCCCUUAAUGAGGAUCCAUUGGAGGGAAAGUUUGGUGCCAGCAGCCAUGAUAAUUCCAACUCCAAUAGCGUAUAUUUAAGUUGUUGUAGUUAAAAAGCCCUUAGUUGGAUCUUGGGUCAUAGUCGGUCCGCCUACUCGAUGUGCACUUUCCCUUCCGUCCAUUUUGUCACUGGUGUGCUCCUAGCCUUAAUUGGCUGGGUCGCGGCUUUGGUGCUAUUACUUUGAAAAAUUAGAGUGCUCAAAGCAAGCUUAUGCUCUAAAUACAUUAGCAUGGAAUAACGUGAUAGGCGUUUCAUCCUAUUGUGUGGGCCUUCGGGACCGGAGUAAUGAUUAAUAGGGACUUUCGGGGGCAUUCAUAUUUCAUUUUCAGAGGUGAAAUUCUUGGAUUUAUGAAAGACGGACCACUACAAAAGCAUUUUCCAAGGAUGUUUUCAUUAAUCAAAUAUGAAAGUUUGGGGCUCGAAGACGAUCAGAUACCAUUCUAGUCUCAACCAUAAACGAUGUCGACCAGGGAUCGGCAGAUGUCACUCUAAGGAUUCCACCAGCACCUUCUGAGAAAUCAGAGUGUUUGGGUUCCAGGGGGAGUGUGGUCACAGGGUUGAAACUUAAAGGAAUUGAUGGAAGGGCACCACCAGGAGUGGAGCUUGCGGCUUAAUUUGACUCAACACGAGGAAACUUAUCAGGUCCAGACAUAGUAAGGGUUGAGAGAUUGAGAGCUCUUUCUUGAUUAUAUGGGUGUUGAUGCAUGGCCUUUCUUAGUUGGUGGAGCGAUUUGUCUGGUUAACUCCGAUAAUGAAUGAGACCUCAGCCUUCCAACUAGCUAUGUGGAGGUUCCCCUUCACGGCCAGCUUCUUAGAGGGAUUAUGGCCAUUCAGGCCAUGGAAGUUUGAGGCAAUAAUAUGUCUGUGAUGCCCUUAGAUGCUCUAGGCUGUACACGCACUACACUGAUGCAGCCAACACGUUUUUAUUCUUGAUUCGAGAGGAUCGGGAAAUAUUCUAAAAUUGCGUCAUGAUGGGGAUAGACCAUUGCAAUUAUUGGUCUUCAACAAGGAAUUCCUAGUAGGUGCGUGUCAUCAACUCGUGUUGACUACGUCCUUACCCUUUGCACACACCACUCGUCGCUCCUAUUGAUUGAAUGAUCCAGUGAAGUGUUUGGAUUGCGUCGACGAUGGUGGUUCGUCGUCGUCAACGUCAUGAGAAUUUCAUUGAACCUUAUCAUUUAGAGGAAGGAGAAGUCAUAACAAGGUUACCGUAGGUGAACCUGCGGUAG